rnacentral:rRNA from 1 species
UAUGAGAGUUUGAUCCUGGCUCAGGAUGAACGCUGGCGGUGUGCCUAAUACAUGCAAGUCGAACGCGUUGGCCCAAUUGAUUGAUGGUGCUUGCACCUGAUUGAUUUUGGUCGCCAACGAGUGGCGGACGGGUGAGUAACACGUAGGUAACCUGCCCAGAAGCGGGGGACAACAUUUGGAAACAGAUGCUAAUACCGCAUAACAGCGUUGUUCGCAUGAACAACGCUUAAAAGAUGGCUUCUCGCUAUCACUUCUGGAUGGACCUGCGGUGCAUUAGCUUGUUGGUGGGGUAAUGGCCUACCAAGGCGAUGAUGCAUAGCCGAGUUGAGAGACUGAUCGGCCACAAUGGGACUGAGACACGGCCCAUACUCCUACGGGAGGCAGCAGUAGGGAAUCUUCCACAAUGGGCGCAAGCCUGAUGGAGCAACACCGCGUGAGUGAAGAAGGGUUUCGGCUCGUAAAGCUCUGUUGUUAAAGAAGAACACGUAUGAGAGUAACUGUUCAUACGUUGACGGUAUUUAACCAGAAAGUCACGGCUAACUACGUGCCAGCAGCCGCGGUAAUACGUAGGUGGCAAGCGUUAUCCGGAUUUAUUGGGCGUAAAGAGAGUGCAGGCGGUUUUCUAAGUCUGAUGUGAAAGCCUUCGGCUUAACCGGAGAAGUGCAUCGGAAACUGGAUAACUUGAGUGCAGAAGAGGGUAGUGGAACUCCAUGUGUAGCGGUGGAAUGCGUAGAUAUAUGGAAGAACACCAGUGGCGAAGGCGGCUACCUGGUCUGCAACUGACGCUGAGACUCGAAAGCAUGGGUAGCGAACAGGAUUAGAUACCCUGGUAGUCCAUGCCGUAAACGAUGAGUGCUAGGUGUUGGAGGGUUUCCGCCCUUCAGUGCCGGAGCUAACGCAUUAAGCACUCCGCCUGGGGAGUACGACCGCAAGGUUGAAACUCAAAGGAAUUGACGGGGGCCCGCACAAGCGGUGGAGCAUGUGGUUUAAUUCGAAGCUACGCGAAGAACCUUACCAGGUCUUGACAUCUUGCGCCAACCCUAGAGAUAGGGCGUUUCCUUCGGGAACGCAAUGACAGGUGGUGCAUGGUCGUCGUCAGCUCGUGUCGUGAGAUGUUGGGUUAAGUCCCGCAACGAGCGCAACCCUUGUUACUAGUUGCCAGCAUUAAGUUGGGCACUCUAGUGAGACUGCCGGUGACAAACCGGAGGAAGGUGGGGACGACGUCAGAUCAUCAUGCCCCUUAUGACCUGGGCUACACACGUGCUACAAUGGACGGUACAACGAGUCGCGAACUCGCGAGGGCAAGCAAAUCUCUUAAAACCGUUCUCAGUUCGGACUGCAGGCUGCAACUCGCCUGCACGAAGUCGGAAUCGCUAGUAAUCGCGGAUCAGCAUGCCGCGGUGAAUACGUUCCCGGGCCUUGUACACACCGCCCGUCACACCAUGAGAGUUUGUAACACCCAAAGUCGGUGGGGUAACCUUUUAGGAGCCAGCCGCCUAAGGUGGGACAGAUGAUUAGGGUGAAGUCGUAACAAGGUAGCCGUAGGAGAACCUGCGGCUGGAUCACCUCCUU